UGUUGCGGCUUGCCGGCUAAGCAGCUGAAAAUUUGCUUCAGUAUUCCUUGGUACGCCAGUACCUGUGAGUCUUAUAGAUAUUAAUUUCUCUUUAAUGAAUUUCACGCGAAAGAACCGGAGGCGAAAUCAAAAAUAACUGGAGAUCUUUACUAUUGCUACGGCAUUAAUGGCGCGGUAAGAAGCGCGUGGGACAUCGGAGCGCCGUGUGUCCACUAACCAUAUCCGCCAAGGCUCAAAAUAACCGAUGAUGGAUCCAUCGAAUAAAAAGGAUUUUGAGGCGACCCAACCGCACGCCCUUUCUGUCUGCGCAGCAACAAUGAAAGCGCUUUUCAUGGAAUAUGUUCACGAUCCCGAUACACCGGCGGUGCGGAUAAAGAUCCAGGAAGCAUGGGAAAAAUUAGGAGGAGCCACAAACCUCCUUGAGAAUUUCUCGGUGGGCGAAGCGAGUAUUUCGGUAGUAUCCUGUCUGAAGUACUUGUCCAGGCGCCACGGUCUGCCGCAGUCAGUAAUUAAAAACAUACUAUCCAAGUUACGCUCAAUCGCCGAUAAAAAUCCGGAAGGUUCGAGCGACGCUUUCGUGAACCAGCAAAUCACACAGAGUCUGAAAUACAGCCUGAAACAUGAUCCAUCGAGUGUCAACGUGAAGCAACUUAUGAAUGCUUGCUCUACCGUGUUAGAUGCGGACGAAAAGGAUGCUUUUCGCGACCUGCCGUUGCACGUUCAAGAUGCAAUUUCCCAGUUGGUGCAGUGCAUCAUCCUGAAGAUCAGUGCAUGCAAUCCUGGAGACGAAGCCGACCGUGAUCGCUUGGUAAAGCUCGCAUUCAAAUAUAUUCCAGCUGCUAACGCUGAUACGAAAGCCCAGCUUCAAGAAACGCUCCAGGCACACGGAAUAUCACUCUCAAUUCACGGCGAAAAACCGCGCGAAGCGAUGCUAAUAGAUAUUGCCAGUGAUAAAUUCAGUGGAUCAACCGAUGAAAUGUUUGCAAGCGGACAGGAAAUGCUUGGGCGAUGCGUGAGCUCGGGAAAAAGCGCGGUGAAGGCCGACGCUGUCAAUACCCAACAAACGGUCACCACAGUGUACAAGGAGAACAUGUCCGAAAAAACGGAAUUGCAGCGGAUUGAUUUGGCCAAAGCGCUGAACAGCAGUCGCGCUAGCAGUCGUGGGACCGCACACAAAAUGGAAAUCAACCCGGCACUGAGCAGUAAAGGCGACAGUGUCCGUUCGUACUUCCGCAGCACUGCGCAAGAAAUCGAUAAUCUGUUGGCCCGAGCGCAGGCGAAUAUGGCCGUCUGUCAGGACGACAUCGUGUAUCUGAAGGAUAAAUUCUGUUACGGUUACGUAGGGAAUUUCUGGGAAGGCCGCAUAACGACCUUCGCCAAUAUCGCGCUGACCUUUUCCGUUAUCGCCAAAAACCAGAUUGUGGACGAUACCAUUCAGGAGGAUUUGGCCAAGAUAACGUUCGACGCAUCACUCGACGGCAGCUAUGACGAGUGCCGGUUACUGUUUCUGAAAAUGUUUCAGCUGUGUGCUGAACGCAGCAAUUCGAAACUUCCAGAAAAAGUCACAAAAAUAUUGCUGAAAUUUCAGAAGAACAGCGAAUGCACACGCGAUAUGAAGAAAAUUUUGUGGGUCAUACUGAAAAAAGACGACAGCAACUUGCAGGAGAGUUUCGCCGCGGCUCUGGAGAUACUACAGCAUGCUAAGGAAGAACAGGAUGAAAUGACCCGAGACAGCAUUGAGUAUAUUUGGGAACAAGUUGUCAAUCCUGCUCGAGCGUUGCACCUAGAGAAAAGUCUAACUUUUUCCUCCACAUUGAUUGAUAUUUUAAGCGGGAGUGAGAAAGGUCAGUAUGGUUUGGACACAGCUUCGCAAGUAGCCGCUAUUCUGGACGACCUUUUGUCGCAUGUUCCUGGUGAGCUUCCCCAAGCCGUAUCCGAGGGAAUUCAAACCCUGCUGAGCAGUUUCAAAGAAGCCUGGAAAGUAUAUUCCAAUUGGAGUGAGAAGGAUUCCGAACCGCACCGAAGACUAUAUAUACAGAGCGUCAUUGCGAUCAUCCUUAAUACUUUAAGUCAUCGGAAAUUUGACGCCUCGCGCAUCGAUUCACUAGACGUACUCCCGAUUAUGGUGCAUCUUGCGCUGGACCCCGAGACUGAUCAGCGUCUGGUCGCCCACAUCAUCAUCGUUCUGGGCAACCUGGUUAUCGAGAAGAAAGUGAGUCACAUACCCGGAGUGGAGCAGCUGGCUUCUCGUCUGAAAUUAAACGACGCGAUCGACGAAGACGGUAUGAUCCGCUUGGAUUCUGAUCAGACGACAAAGACCGUGGGCCUCAAAUACGUAUCGGCAGUGAUUGCACAGAUGCUGCUGCAGCUGAUCUUUAUCCCUGAGGAACCUCUACGCUACGCCACCACCCUCGACGAAAUUAAGGCGGCAAUCAAUACCAGUCCUGACAAAAACACGCAGAUUCGUUGUGCGGAAUGCAUUUUCCAUGCAGUUGUUAACAGUUACCCCGAUAUGACCGAUAAGUAUUUGUGGCCGUUGCUUCCGCUUACUAGUAGCGCGGUCGCUGAUGUCCGCAUCAAUUGCACGGCCGCGUACUGUCUGCUUCUCGAGCGCGUGACUUUCAGCGAACGAAAACAUGUACUGACUACGAACGAACUGACUGAUUUGUCCCUCAUGUACACCUAUGAACCGGUUGUACUCAGUGGACGUGAUUUCACCAAGGUCAUUAAUGCCUCCGUGUUAAAGGUCGUGCUGAAUGCUGCGCCUGAUGUGCGGUUUUCCGACACGGUACACCAGCAACUGUCCACAAUCUUAAUGGCAGAAGGAGCGCCACACGCUGAAGUGGAUCAGGAAAUGGUCCUCAAGAUUCUGUAUGCGCAGGUUCAAUCGCCAGUCGUCAGACAAGGGCUGCCGAUGUACUGCUUGGAUGCAGUGGAAAACCUGGUUCUAACCAACAUAACCAACAAUCAACAUUUCGAAAUCUGUGCCAACAUCUUAACUGUGGUUUUGCAGAGGUUCCAUCAGUGUAUAAAUCCUGCGGUUUUGGAUUUCGUCCAGCACCGAUUCGAUACGGAACAGCGUUUUGAACGGCUGUGCUUCUGGUUGACCUUUGCCGCCAUCUGUGUGCAGGAUGUUCCUGAGCAUGUUUUCCAUCGAUUUGACCUGGAGUUUGCGUCAGUGCGUUUAUUGGCAGCGUACAGCUCUUCGGAAACCUUCGGUUUUAUCGAAACCCUGAGUCAGCACGCAAAGAACUGUUUAUUUGUGCAUCUCAAAAGCUAUUUCCAGCGUGGAUUUAAAAUGUCUGGAUUAAACAAGAAACUUUUCGACUUGUGCAUUCAAGAGAAAAUCAAUGUAGAGAUCAUUUUGGAGUCUUUGCUGCUGGUGUGCGAAAAUGGACAGAUUCUCCCGCGAGAUUUAAUUGACCGUGUAUUUGACCAUGUAAACGAAGACCAAUUGCCGGUUGCGCAGCUUUCUUUAGCCUCCGCCAUCGUACAGAACAACCAGUCGUUGCCGAAGGCGUUCACCCAAAAAAUUGUUGCUAAUUUCUGCUCGGGCAGUUUUCCGGAACUGUUCCAAAAUUCCGAAAAAUGCGCAAAGUUCAACAUCAUCACCAAAUUGAUGCAUAAUAAUUUUGAGAUACCCGACACGCGCAACGUUACCGCAAAACUGUGCGAAGGCUGGAAGAGUGAAAGCGGCGGUAAUCAUCGUCAAAAACUCGACAUAAUUUCAGCGUUGGCGAGUCAGGUUAACUCCGUGUUCGCGGCGUGUGAUAUCGAUCCGCAGCCGUUGGAGACGGUCUUCGUGGAAGCUAUGAGUUCCGACAAUGCGCAAAUGAUCGAAACGGCGUUGAAUGGUUUCAUCGCUCUGAGCCGGCACAGAAGCCCGGCGGAGUCACUGUGUGAUGACAGUCAUUUCACGCUGUUGAUGAAACUUCAAAGAUCUGCUUCGUCCACCGACUCCGUUAAAGAAACGAUCGCGGAGUUUUUAACAUCUAUGCAGAAAAUUCUCCCAGCACAUGUGAGAGCCAGUCUGAAUUUGUCGCAUCUGGAGAACAAGGCAAACCUGGAAGUGGUGACCGAUCUUCCAAUGCUAUGCAAACUGGAUGACUUCGAAUUUUUUGAAUCGCAGCCAUGUCAAACGCGACUACAGAAAAUUCUGGAAAGCGAUGGCGACAUGGAUGUUGUUAUGGAGGUACUAACGAUAAUUGCGAGCUAUCCGCGUAUUUCUCGUCUGCCAGCAAAGACUCUCGAAGCAGUUGGAUUCGUAAAGCUCAGUAAGAAUCAUCCGAAGGUUACUGAAAAAUGUCAAAGUGUCAUAGCUGCUGGUUUGGAGAACGGAAUUCAGUUAACGGAAAAACUGAAAGCGUACAUGUCGUCCGACCAGCAAAGCGAACGCGCAUCACCGAUCGGUGCGAAUGCAACCGAGAGCCACAAAAUUGUUAGUCAGCUGUACGAAUUCCUGAACACGGAAACGACGCCAGUCACACUUACGAAAGUGUUAAAUGAAAGCAACGGUCUGGAUGAGCAAACGUUAACGCUGCUGUUGGAAAAGGAUUUCUCCUGGUGUGCGAAUUUAGCAGAGUAUUUAGCCAACCAAGUUCUGUUACCUUUGGCUUCAAAGACCAUUGGCUAUAACUAUCAGUUGCGGAAAAAGUUCAUGGAAGUAUUUUGCAACGAAAUCCGUAUCCGUGGGGAAGCUGUGAGUGAUACGUUGCUGGAAGCGCUAAAGACUGUACUUUCUAUGCACCAAGAACCGGAACUCAGCGCGGAAGAAUUCAUUUACGCUUUUUUCCACUCUGCCUCGGCCAGUGCAACAAUUUCGAUCGAUAGGAUGCGACGUAUCUUGCAGUGCCUAGUAGCGUUGGUGACGUCUGCGAGCCGCUGCAAUCCCGAAACGCUGAUUGAGCCAAACGUUUUGCAGUUUUUUCCUGCGCUGUUGCAUCAUCCAUCGUCUUUCGUGCGAAGACAAUGCGUCCUUGCACUGGAAAUUGUAAGUUCCGUUACGUCGGUCACAGACUUGACUGCUGAUGUCUCUUCGUCAGCCGCUCAGAUAAGAACACUUCUUGACUCGAUCAUCACCCACGCGCUUCAACAGAUCUUUGCGGAAUGCGGUGAUUGCGAAGUCACCCAACAACUGGCGCUCGACACAAGUUUUAAUGACGAUUUUGCUUGGUUUCUCGUAUGCCUGACAAACUGGGAUUUCGAUAUCGUCAAGCCGGUGCGCUCCGAUCGCACACAGUGGCGACAACGUAUGCUUAAGUCGGAUUUUCUGCUGAAUUUUGCGGAUUCCUUCGACCGGGCGGUCGACUUACAUAAGCACGUGUUGACCAUUGCAAGCAAGUUUUCCGCUGAUGAAGAACGCGAAGAAUUCUUCGAUUACCUGUCACUGGUCUGUUACGACGCCGAAAAUUCAGACUUGCCGAAAACGCUAUCAUCUUUAACAUUGCUGGAUGCAAAAGAGCUAAAAGAAUUGUCACUCAUUCCAAGUGCCGACUUCAGACGACAGCUUGCGGAACAAGUCAUCUCGAAGCUUUUUGCGGAAAGGGUCACUUUCACCCAGUCUCCUCAGAUUCGGAGUUUAUUAACACAACAACUAAUUUCGGUAUUCGGAAUUCAUUUGGCGACAACCAUUUGCAUAGCGUGCGAAAGAAUCGAGUCCAUGCAAGAAUUCACUGCGUUCUUGGAGUAUUUCGAAGGAACAACAGUUAAAGAUUUGGCAAGGAAACAGGAUAGCUUCGGGCAACAAACUCCAAGCACAAAACGCUUGCAGCAAAUCGCUGUGCAACUGGGAACCGAGUUUCUCGUGCAAAAUAUUCCGGAACACACCGCCCAUCGGCAGAGAAUCGAACGCGUGAUUGGUAAACUCUUGCAGAACGGAGUAUUGCUUUGCGAUCUGCAGCAGCUUCUCACCGUGUGUGUAUCCGCUUCUCCAGCACUAAAAUCAUUCGUGCAUGCGAUUGGUCAAGCGUAUCAGUAUCGGUUAACCGGCACGUCCUUCGCCGCUCUACGGGAGGUGGCUUCCCGGGCACAAUCCGAAAUGGAGAUCAUAGCAGCAGUCAAUAAAUUCACACGAGAAAAUGUCUUUGAUGGCAAACACGGUGUCAAACAGGCCGCACACAUUGUCAGCGAAUUCCGUCGCGACAACACGCGUGUUUCAUACAAAUGGAGCUGUCUACGGGAGCGUUUCGUCAAAGCCGGUUACGAAUGGGAAAUCUUGCAGCUGCACAUCUUCCGCAUCUUCAACGCUGAUCUCCGAAGCCGCGUUUACAAAUCCGACAUCCUGGUUAACACGUGGACCGAUACGGACAUUACAAACUGGGCGUUGCAAGCGGUCGCCAGAAAGUGCGAAUAUCGACCAGCGGAAUUCGUAACGGAGGCAUUGGCCAUCGCCCGCCUUGCCAUGGAAAAAUUCAAAAAUUUCGUUCUGACGAAAGUACAGAUUUUAAGUUGUCUGGUCGCUCUGGAUAAACUGAAGAAGGACACCACGAAAGGUCAGCUGCAGCAGGUCGCUACCGGAUCCGGUAAAUCGGCCAUCGUUGCAGUAUUAGCCGCGGUCAAGGCGCUGGAAGGUCACACCGUGGACAUUUACACCAGCAGUCCGGUGUUGGCGGAGCGCGACGCGCAGGAAUGGGCGCCGUUCUACCAAAUGUUCGGGCUGACGUGCGGACACAACGGCGAUAAAGGCGUAUAUGUUGCUAAGAAGAAACCAUGUUACGAUCAGCGGAUUGUGUACGGCGAGUGUGCACAGUUUCAGUUUGAUUAUUUGCGGGAUAAGUACAGUGGAUUGGGUACACUGGGCGGCCGCAGUACGGACUUCGCUAUCGUCGACGAAGUGGACUCUGCGUUAAUCGACGACAGCGCGAAACUGGCGCGCCUAUCGACGACCUUGCCGGGAAUCGAUACACUGCAUGUUUUGUACUGUCUCAUCUGGGAUCGUCUGUUACAUAUACAGUCCCACCUGUUCUCCAUCCGGGAACGACAGUUCUACGUCGAAGGACGAAUCACACGGGAAGAAUCUGUUGGAACUUUCGCGUACCAUUUUGCAAACGUGGAAGAUGAACUGCUUGCAAUUCGAAAUUUAGUCAAGUUCAUCCUGGAAGCAUCGAAUGACGAUUUGCUCAAAGCCAGAAUCUUCGUGGUGGAUGACCUCGAGAUGUUCGUCAAGAACCACAUGACAGAGCACGUUCAGUCUGUACUGGAAUCGGAAUCACUUGGUUUGCAGUUCCCUGUCCACAUUAAGGACUUCGCGCGAAACCAGAUUCCGUUGUGGGUAGAGAGUGCCUUGACCGCCAUUAAAUACCAGGAAAAUGUCCACUACAUUGUCGAUGAAGGCCAGAUUAAACCGGUGGACUAUCUAACCACAGGUGUGGUGCAGUCCAGCACCAACUGGAACAACGGUCUCCACCAGUUCCUACAGCUUAAGCACUCGUUGAAGAUCCAUUCGGAAACAGUGACAACGAAUUUUUUGUCGAACUAUUCAAUGUUCAGCAAGUACGGUACCAAUAUCAUCGGCUUCACCGGGACCUUGGGAUCCACCUAUGAACGGGAGAUCAUGUAUAACAUUUACCAUGUAAAGCUACUCGUUCUGCCAGAAACCUACUUUAAACGCUAUAUCCAGUUUCCGGAUAUUUGCGUGGAAACCGAAGAGCAGUGGCUGAAAGAGAUUGCCAUUACGACCAUGGCGGAAACGUCGAAAAUGCGAGCUGCUCUAGUGAUCUGUGAAACCAUCAAAACGGCGCAUCUACUUGCUUCAGUUUUUUCCGGCUUUAAGGUCAAAGUUAAGCUGUACGUAAAAAACCAAGAAGGACAAGAAAAGCAGAUCGAACGUCUCCACCCUGGUGACGUGGUUGUAGCGACCAAUCUCGCGGGUCGCGGUACCGAUCUGAAGACCACAGAAAUCGAAGAAUACGGCGGACUGCACGUGUGUCUAACGUUUCUUCCACACAGCCAACGGACGGAAGAACAGGCAUUCGGCCGAACGUCGCGACAAGGCAACAAAGGCACCGGGCAACUGAUUAUCAUCGGCGACCCACACUCCGAUUACCGGCACCAGCGCGACCUCGAAGAAAAACGCAUGCUGGAGGAUUUUCGCGACCGUGAACUCCCAUAUAUUCAAAUGAAAGGGAAGCUUUUUGAAGAAUUCUGCGAAUAUUACAACAGCGUUCGCCAACAGCUGCAAAGUCAACGGAGUUUCUGGAAGAACAUGGGCGACGGUGUCCAGGAUGUAGCGCAGUCGUGGCUCGGUGUUGGAAGUGGCAGCGCUCCUUCGCUUUUGGAAACAGUUGUGCUUUUGUCCGUGGAAGAGCAGUGGGCAAAGUUUCUCCUUAUGGUGGACCGCGAGAAAUUCGACAGUGAGAAAGCACGUGCAGAAUUGCAGACUUUUAAGUCAAAUCUGGAGAAAGCGGAAAGUAACCAUGACCUUAUUAAGGCCGCCAGCAACGCCUUCUAUUUCGUGCAGUUGGGAAAUUUUGAAUAUGUCAACGAACGUCACGCAGCGGCUACGGAAUACUACGAAACCGCCGUUCAAAUGGAUCCACCGUUUGCUGUCGGUGCACAAAUGGGCCUUGCCGCUGCAUCGCUUAACGCCGGUGAUUCAGCGGACUAUAAAAGAAAAGCGGUGGAGGAAUUUCACGGCGUUCUGAGUCUGCUGUACAAAGAGAUGUCCGUCAUUAACACGAUGCAGGCUUUGUCUCAAAAGCCAUUCUCUCCGGGUUCAGCUUCCGAUACACCGCUUUUCCAGCAGCUCAUACAAAAGGCGAAUCUCCUGGGCUAUUUCAUCAACACCAUUCAAUCCAAUAUUGAUGCGACGGAAAGGUCACUGCGAAAGGUCAACCUGGAAUAUCAGACAAAAUCUGACAGAUGCACUAUCCGUCUGCCGAAUGAUCUUCUUUUAAAGAAUUCGAAAACCCGAUGCCUUGAUGAAAAUCUGAAACCGUUUGAAAAGUUCAGUUUGACGUUUCACGAUCAAACGGUGCACCAUGAUAGCGUCGAGAAGGAUCAGGCGCUAGAAACUCUUCCUGGGAUGAUGGCUGCCCCUCUGCUGUGGAGAUCGUCCAGAGUCACUUUGUGCUGUGAAUCCGCUGAUAUCGCAAAACUUCUCGACGAACCCAACUUUAAACUGUUCAAGAAGGUUCCCGAAGUUAGCGUUGAAGUUCUUAAGAUGCACCGGGAUUUCGAUAAAGGAGGAAAGUUGCCAUUUCAGUUUAACGAUAUCAAGGAUUUAGGUGUUAGCAGUUUUGAUCUGGAGAUUUCUGGUCCUCAGCAAACCUUGAUAAGGGCCGCCGAGAAUCUAUUAAAGAAAUCGAAGACAUUUGAGCACGAUACGAUCGUUCUUGUAGCAACUGAUAAUACUAACGAGCAGCAGUUGAUCAGCAAAGUUUUGCCAUCGAAAAUGGAGGAAAAAGAGAAACUGGCCAUCAUCGAGCAGUUUAAAGGUAGCUGCAUCUCCAUUAAAGUCACUGGGUUGUCUCGUGCCGCUAAUGUGCAUAAUUCGAACGAAGCUUUGGGUAAAGAUUACAAUCCAGCGGCACCGCAACUAAAUAUUAACUUAACUCUUCGUGGUUUGAAAGCAAAGCCGAAGACAGAUGGCGAGAAAUCGAAGAAGGAUGGCGAAUCGUUUAAAAACGUGGUGAAAGCCGCAUGGAACAAAGAAAUCGCCAAUUACAAGACGAAUCUUAUUUUAUCGGAAAUGUCGUCCGAUACUGCUAAAGAUGUGAUCAAAGUCAUUCGAAAGCAUAACAUCAGAUUCACGAUGCAGCUGUACAAUUUGAGUUGGGACGAUGCGAAUAAGCUACUGAAAGAGGCAAAGAUUGACCAGGAGCAGAUGAACCAGACAAAAGUGCAAGAGCUCCCGGACAUGUUCACCCACAGCCAAGUGCCGUUGCAGGAGAUACGGGAACUGAGCGCACGUGGUAUUCUCCUGCUAGUGUCCUUCAACGAGAAGCAGUUUAUUCCGUGGAUCAGCUUGUUCAGCGUCUGUGGACUGGCGUCAGUGCAGGCGGUGGCGGGCGGGCUCCUCAUCACGACGGGUUUCGGAGCCAGCCUGGGAAUGUCACUAGUUACGGAGGCCAUGUCGGAUCUGACCACGGCUCACCGUAUUUACACCACCCGCAAUUUCAGCUGGAACGAUUAUGUUACACAGAAAGCUGUCAGUGUGGUCAUAACGGUAUCGACCAUGGGCUUAAACAACCUGGCAAACGGCGCAAAAGGAAUGAAACUUCUUGCUACGGGAACUACCGCUGCUAGUUCGACGGUAGCGGCUGCCAACACCGCGAUUAUCAACACAACCGGAGCAAACCUUAGAGUUUUGGCGGUUAAACACAUCGCCGUGCGCACCACCGAAACUGGCGCCCGCAUCGGAUUGAAAGUCCUGACCGACAAACUGUCGGGGUUCUGUUUCGAACAAAUUCGCGAAGCCAUUGUGCGAGAAGUGGAACCCAGAGUAGAAAACGCAUUCUUCCAUCAAAAAUUCAAGACUAUUAUAGCAAUAACAUGGGCGCAACACCGCAUCCUCGAUGCCGGCACUCCUACAGCGACGACGGCGCUGACUCUGCAGCGCAAACUGGAACGAUUGGUGAAAGCCACCAUGAAUCCGCAAUUGCCAACGUGGCGUGCGUGGUGGAACUCAGUCGGCGCGCCGUUGGCUAACAGUAUUUUAUCCGAUCCGAAUUUCGUCGGGAGCGCCUACAGCAAACUGGUCAUGUGCUGGGGCGCCGUGUCCGGUCUACAUGAAAUAGCCGAUAUCACUUCCCGAGUUUUUAAUGAAAUGGAAGGCAAAUUGCAGGAAGACGUGGAGGUCUUCCGGCAGAUAUUACGCAAAAACGAUUUCUCCGCCGAAUCAAUUAAUAAAAUAUGCACAAAAGAAAACUUAAACAAUAAUUUCAAAGGUUUUAACGUUGUUCUGGACAGAAAAGAAAACGAAGUACUGCAAAAACUCUUGAUUACCAUGUCCGAACAGCAGAAGCAAUUUGACGCAGCCCAAGUGCGGGUCGAAAUGAGUGUGCUGCAUAAAGCGGUGACCGAUCUGAUCGUCGGCCACAUCAUUCGCACUGCCAACGCCCAUCUUGUGUCGCCCGUUAUGUCGCAAGCGGCCGGUGCUAUUGUACGCGGUAUCUCGGAAGAACUGCAGAAGCGCUUCCUGGUUAGCGAAGCGCAGGACUCGAAAGACCCAAAGUUCCUGGACCGGACACGAACAAUCAAAGGGCAAAUUGAAAUGAAUGCCAAGGAAUAUAUGAUUAACUUUCAGUUACGGGAAAUGAUUGCAAAAGCCGAAGCCGCUACCGAGCGCGCCGAAAGAGACGGAAUUAAAGACGGUGCGCCGGACGACCCUGAGGUCAAGAAAUUAGCUACGGAUAUUGCCGAUAAUAAGCCGAUCGACAAUCCGACUUUUCUUUUACUAGCAAAGUUCCGUAACCUUAAUAUCAAAAUCGUUGAAGAUCCGGAUUACGUACCCACCGAAGAGGAGAAAGCUUCCGGUGUGCGUAUUGUCGUUUACACACCACCGCCGCCGGGUGAACCCAACGGCGUGGGGCAUUAUGCUCUGAAGAACGCUGACGGAGACGGAUUUGAGAUUGAGGACACAGGAGACAGCAGUCAGAAUAACUGCGGCUACGACAUUCUGUCGAAGCUCGCUGCCGAUUCUCCGUCCGCAUCCGAACUACGACUGCAAGCGGUCAGCAUGAUGUUGGCUGACCCACAGGCCACUCGCGACAUACUCGAGAUCCACAGAUGGUUCGAAGAUAAUUUCGCGCAAGAAGCGUCGCUUUUUCUCGGGGUGGGCGGAGCUCGAGCUCCUGGUCAACUGACGCCUUCAGAGAAGAGAAGGCGAGGGAGAGGCACCAUUUACGUUUUGGAACACGAAGACGAAGAUGGUACGCGACGGGUGAAAGUGGGUAUGACCAAGCGGUCAGUCAGCAAGCGCCAGAAGGAAUUAGAAAGGAAGAAUCGCGAAAAAUACACCCUUGUUCAUACCAAGGAGGUAAACUAUCGGUAUUCUGUUGAACGAGAUGUCCACGACGAAUUAAAGGAAAGUAGAAGUCCGCGAAAUGUCCAGGGUGGAACGGAAUUCUUUACGACAGAAAGCAGCGUAGUCAUUCAGACCAUCGAUUCUGUCAGCAGGUCAUACGAUGACGCUUAUCCCGGUGGGUUACUUCCGGAGGAUCAGAACAGUGUUCCAAGAAACGAGCCCAAACCGCCUGCUGACCAAGACAACGUUGACUAACUAGGAAGUUUCAGUGUUAUUAAAACCAACUAUCCUUUGGAUAUCAUUGACUUCGAGCAGCCCAUCAUGCAGAGCCCAGAGAUGUUCUUUUCUGUCUGUUAAUUCAUGUUUACACACCUUCUAAGUAAUUUAUUGGUUUAUUAAUAGUUAGUUCAGCAUCCUCGCGUAACGGGAAAACAACGCCGACAAGAAGGAAAUUGUUCCAAAAUCUGUUGCACUGCCCGGAAUAAAAUAGUGACAGGCUGAUAGCUCAUAACUGCGUGGCAUGCGGCAAAUUAGUGGAAAUGAAUGGCCAUCACGGGCUUUCCUGCAAUAAAUCAACAAAAGGGCGAUGGGCCAGACAUAGAGAAAUGAACAGUAUUGCCAAAAACUGUUGCGAGAGUGCAGGAUUCCCAUGUCAACUGGAACCGAUGGGCCUAUCACCAAGUGCGGCGAUUCGACCUGACGGCAUGACGCUUAUUCCAGUCCGUCAGGGAAAGUCUGUUGUAUGGGAUGUCACAAGCUGGUGUGCAGUAGCCGAUUCCCACGGAAGUUCGAAGAAAGCAGGAAGUGUGGCUCACCUGGCAGAAAAUGAGAAGCGACGGAAAUACUCUCCACUGGAAAGUAGAGACCUUUUCUAUCCCUUAGUUGUUGAAACGUUCGGUGUCUUCGGCCCAGCUUUAAGUGAAUUUGCACAUUUUAUGGGCCGUAAAACUCGUGAAUUAACUGGAGAAGCGCAUUAUACUGGUUUUAUGAAGCAACGUUUUAGUUUGGCUGUCAUAACGGAAAUGCUACUGCUGUGUUAAGUACGUUGCCUUUUAACCCGCGG